GGGACGCCUCAGCACAGUGCCUGGGACCUGGGAACAAGGUGGCGUCUUGUCCCCAACCUCAAACCCACGGACAUCCAGGGGGACACCCCGAGGAGAAGCGGGGACCCCGGCAGGACCCAGAGGAGGACGGAGAGGAGAGGCUGCGGGGGGUUGUGGAGGGCUCCGGCAGUGAUGGAGCAAAGCCCAGGCGGGUGUGGGACCCCCGCUCCGGGGUGCCCAGCCUCGCCGGGAUGCGGCACUUUGGUUUCAGCUGGGAUUGCGGGUUGGGAACGCAAGGAAGGAGCUGGAGAGACCCUCGCCCGCCGGGGAUGGGGUCCCGGUGCCACGCUCGGUGCCUGAGGAGAGCCACAUCUCCCCUGCCACCUCCUCCAGCCUGGUGCCACAGCCAGCACCCAGCACCCGGGCUCUGCCUCCCCAUGGGGACCAGGACCUCCGUCAGGCUGUCCCCAUGCCCCCAACACCGUCACCCGGCCCCAGCCGCGAUGGCGGGGAGGGAACCCAAGAAGGGGAGCUGUGGGUGGCCACGGGGACCCGAUCUGGCCGAGGACCGUGCCCGGCCACCCCGGCAUCCCAAGCUGCCCCACAGCCACCAGGGUGUCCCUACCCACCGGCCAGGCUGUGCCAGCACCACACGGCUCAUCCGUCUGCCAUCUCCCAGAUGCCACAAAGCCACCAAAGGAUGUGGCUUGGGCAUGGCACGGGGCACGCAUCCCCUGGCCCCCUACAUGCUCCAACACUAUUUUGGAGCAAAACCCUGCGGAAGCACCCGCCGCUCCGCCCAGCACCGCCACGGCCCCCUCUGCACCCGCAUCGCUCCGGUCCCGCGGCCACACCGCCACUGCCAUCCUCCCCGCAUCACUAAUUUUUGGGAAAUAUUAGACUUUAAAGCUGUCGUUCUGGUUUGGACGUCUGCUAGUGCCGCGCCACCCGUCCCCUUCCUCCCUCGGCUUUUGGUUUCAAUGCAAGGUUCUGUAGGGUAUUUUUAUUAUUAUUAAAAGAAAAAAAUAAUUAAAAAAAAAGGCAAAACAGAAGGGAGUGGAAACGAGAGCAGACUCUGUGUAAAUGCUCUCGUCUGCGGUUUCCCGGCGAGGCGGAGGUAGAGAGGCAGAGCCCCGGCGCGGAGCGGGGCCGGGGGCAUGCGGGGACACGCGCAGCGGGGAGGGCAGGGAUGGGAUGGACCCCCAGGAGAGCAGGCGGCCCCGCAGCAGGCGCAUCUGCAAUACUCUUAUAUAUUACCUCUUCUCAGGAAACGUAAGAAAAAUAGACAAUAUUACAUAUGUCACACCAUAAAUAAAGUGAACAGUCACUCAAGGGGCAGCCAGCAAAGCUCCCAGCCUCGGGGUGCACCCUCCCGGGGGGAUGCACCGAGGCCUUGGGGUGCACAAACCAACCCCUGGGGGGAUGCACCGAGGUCUCGGGGUCCUCAAAUCCACCCCUGGGGGGAUGCACCAAGGUCUCGGGGUGCACAGAAACCUCCCGGGGGGGAUGCACCGAGGCCUCAGGGUGCACAGAGCUGCAGCAAGGCUCAGUGCUGGUGGCACAGGGCCGUUAACGCCACCUCGGAGGUGCCCCAUGCACCCAGCUCUGCUGCGGCGCGGCACGGCACACGGCGUGGCACGGCACGGCACAGCCAUCGCAGGAGGCAGCUGCAAAGGCAGCGCAGCAGCCGGACCCCUGGGUGACUGGCAACACAACCGACCCGGCCCCAAACCCUUCCCUCCUCUUCCUCCCCUACAGAAAACACACAGGAUGGUUUUUGCAAAUGCGGAAAAACUACAGCUCCUAGCGAGCACACGACUUCAGUUUGCCUCCGGCCAGCCUCGCUCCCCCACGCCACAGCCUCCAGCGGGUUCUCAUCAUCCUUUAUUUGGCAAAUGUCUCUUAUUAUUAUCACUAUCAUUAUUAUUAUUAUUAUUAUUUUUUGGACCUCUGCAAAACACUAUUUACAUUCACAUUAGCGUACAGCACUCCUGCCCCGCGUGGGGCUUCCCUCCUCGGAGCCGGGGGACUUUCCGUAUUGCACUCCCGUCCUCUGCGCUUUGUACAACGAUGCCAGAAAUACAAAAUAAUCAACAUCGUCCUUGGCUGCCUCCUCGGCCAGGAAGGAGGUGGCGCUCGCUUUCCUUUCCUUUCUUUUUUCCUCUUAAAAAUCCUUGCAAAAUAAAUCAGACGCGGGGUGUGGGAGCAGCCCGGCAGUGAGGGGCUGGGGGGGGGUGUCCACCCCGACGGCUUCGGGAAGGUAGAAGAACCAAAAUCCAGCUUUUAAUCUUUUUUUUUUUUUUUUUUUAAUUCUCUUUUUCCAGGGCGGCGGCGGGCAGAGGUAGAGAUGUGCCGGCUCCGGCUGCGCCCACCGGGCGGUUCUCAGCCACCAUCUCCCCCUCCCACACCUCGGGGGCUUGCUUUUUAAAAAGAAAAAUUAAAAAAAAAAAAAA